UCACAUUUUUUUAAAAAAAUGUACCACCUACUUUUUAUUUACUACUGAAGUUUGCCUGUAGUCUUGUGGCACAUGCAUUGUAAUAAUGCUGGCUAUAUUUGAUAAUUCAAUAAUUUUUAGUUGCAGGACAUUGAAGAAAUGUUGGAGCAUAGUCAAGGAACCACUCCUUCAUAUACUUUUAGCAAUGGAAAACCGGAUUAUGGUGAUAUGUUUGACGCCCAAGAGGGGUUUUUUCAUGGACUCACCACCUCUGUUAGCAAUGGCUUCAAUGGCGUCAAUUCUGGUUGGAGCAGUGCUUUUAGUGAUCUUAUUUCGGAUCUGUACAGUCAAGCUGAGCAGAUAUCCACUGUUUCUACUCUAGAUUGAAAGACGAAGCACGAUUUUUCAUACUUGACCAUCUUGAUGAUCUCAAGAAAGCCAAGAAGGAUGCUGCUCUUUCUAGUGAUGAAGUAAAGGUUAUGGCCUUUGAUGAGGAAAUUCAUCCAAUGGAGAUAUAUCUGGAUGAUGAGGCCAAGUUGACCCUGCAUGGUCUCGUACAGG